rnacentral:pre_miRNA from 1 species
GAUUUCAACUAAAAAAAGUCAUCAACAACAAAGUUGUAUAACUCACCAAGAUCUAUAACUUUUAUAUUUGUCAUUUCUUCAUCCGACAAAGUGCUAGUAACAUUGUUCACAAAAUUUACAUAUAUGUAAAUUUUGUGAACAAUGUUACUAGCACUUUGUCGGAUGAAGAAAUGACCAAAAUAAAAGUUAUAGAUCUUGAUGAGUUAUACAACUUUGUUGUUGAUGACUUUUUCAGUUGAAAUC